CGCUUUUUUCGCAUCGGAACUCGACCCGACCCGGCGACGGUCAUGACGCUCGUGAACGAGCUGCGUGGCCGCUUCGGGGUCGAGCCCGUCCUCCGGGUCCUCAAGAUCGCCCCG
rfam:Micromonospora rosaria strain DSM 803 contig303, whole genome shotgun sequence.